ACUAACUUUUAACAAACAGAAAAUUUAAAGGAAAAAAAAAUUGAGAAAACAAUUUUGCAAUGACGAUACCAUGUAGUAUAACUGUCUCAAAUGAAAACAUUUGAACAGUUGUUGUUGUUGUGUCGUAGAUUGUGCGUUUUGGUUUUCCUGAUUGGAAAUGAAUGUCACACAAUUUUUGUUCCAGAAACCCCCGAAAAGACAAUCAAGUUCAAUCACACAGCAAAUAGCAACAACACUGACGAUAGAACAUUCGUUCAUAACUCUAUUAUAUGAAAAGAAAUCCGAUAAUAUUUCGUUGGUCUUUUCGCGUGUCCUUUUUGGUUGAUGACCUUUCAUACAUUUACAAAUCGCACGGAACACAAAUUCAUUUUCGAGAACUCGGAACCGUAUAAAAAUAGUCAAUAAUCUUGUAGCAAUACAAAAUUGAAGUAUAAUAAACAAUUGAACUGAAGUGGCAGCACUCCAAACAUCACAUUAAGCAAUCGAUUC